AAUAAAAACCGAGCGAUUGUCGGCCUAGGAUAUAAUCAAAGGCAAUCAUAUCGAAAACGCAUCAGACUUUUUUCGCUUAGCGCCUUAGUGGUCAAUCAAGGACAUUGUGGAAACCAUAAUUGAAUAUUUCACAUCAUUUCUUUAUUCACAAAGAAUAGUCGAAUUUGGACCGUAAAAAAUAUCAGACAAAGCAAGAUUUUUUUUUAUGAAAAUGAAAUUAAUAAAAAAUAGAAAAAAAGAAUAAAAGGAAGCCUACAGCACCCCGGAUUCCCAUGUUGUCUCCAACCAUAGUACUAACGAGGCCCUCAGACGCUUAACUGCAGUGAUCGGACGGGAACUGGUGUUUUCGCCUAGGUAUGGCCGUAGACAUUUGAUUUAUUCAUAAGUAGAAUUUAUUGGUAAAAAAAAUCACAUUUCCUUAUGGGUAAAAAGAGACAACGCUUUGAACUAGCACAAAAAGGAAAUUUUAUGUGAGCU